UCUUAUUUCUGAACUCUCCUCUGUCCCUCAACUUCUCUUCCUCAACCUGCUGCACAUAAACCAUCAACCUUGAUAUGUCCAUGUCCCCGAUAAGCAUUGCAGCCCUACCUUCCUUGCUCGACAACCGAGACAGCCCAGCAACAAACAAGCUCAUUCUAUUCCUCAUGUUCGCAACAAUCUCCGGAGCAUAGAGGGAUAAUUGUGUGAACUUCAAACUGUACUCAUGAACACUCAAGGACUCCUGCUUAAGUGUGAGGAACUCACGUUACCUUGGCCUCUCUCAAUUCUCGAGGAAAGAAAUGCCCCAAGAAAGCUUCCUCAAAACCGGCCCAACUUGCAGGUGGUGCAUUCUCAGCUCUGCCCCCUUUCCACUGGUCGAACCAAGUUCUAGCAACAUCCUUCAAUUGAUAAGCAGCUAGUUCAACCCGCUCAAUAUCUGCCACAUGCAUCACAUCAAAAAUCUUCUUCAACUCCUCAAUGAAAUCCUCUGGAUCCUCAGUAGUGCUCGAACCCAUGUAACUCGGAGGAUUCAUCCCCAAGAACUCACGAAUCCUAGAAGUGUCAGCUCCUUCCUAUCGAGCUCCCCUUUGCUGACCAAUUUGAUUAGCUACAACUUGACUCAACAUCCUAAUUGCCUCUCUGAACUCGGCAUUAGAAACUUCCCCUUGAUCUUGCACUCCAGGUGCAUAAGGUAACUCUUGCUCAUCAACAUAACGUC
rnacentral:lncRNA from 1 species